rnacentral:rRNA from 1 species
GACGUAGGGCGCAAGCGUUACCCGGAAUUACUGGGCGUAAAGGGUCCACAGGCUGAUUUCUAAGUCUUAUUUCAAAGACUCCGGCUCAACUGGAGGAAGGGAUAGGAUACUGGGAAUCUAGGGUGAAUUCGGGGCUACUGGAACUUGUCGUGUAGGGGUGAAAUCAGUGGAUACGACAAGGAACACCGAGGGCGAAGGCAGGUAGCCAGGAUUUAACCGACGCUAAUGGACGAAAGCUAGGGUAGCAAAUCGGAUUAGAUACCCGUGUAGUCCCUGAGCGGGCUGGCAA